CAUAAAAUAAAAUAAAAACGUUCAAAUUUGAAUAGAAAAAUGAAGAAGUUAUUGGAAGUGAAUAAUCAUUUUGCAUUUAUUAAACGUUUGUUUUCCUCACAUCAGUUCAGCAAGCAAAGCAAAAUAAAAUUGAAAGACGAAAGGUCGAAGAAAGUUUUCCCAAUAAAGCCAACUAUGACUAGAGGCUCUCAAGAAUUACUUCUAAAACCAAUUUCAAAAGAUCACCCAGCUUUACAUGGUAUGAGGAUUUCCAACAAAGAAAGAGUAAAUUUUAAAGUUUUGGUUUUCGUAAAGAUCUAUGUGAUGCAAUAAAAGAUAUGGGCAUUGAUGAGCCAACUCCUAUUCAGGUGGAGAGUAUAUCAAAGAUCCUUCAAGGAAAGAACAUCCUCACAACAUCAUUGCCUGGCUCUGGCAAAACACUUGGCACCUUCUUCCUGUCAUUCAUAAAUUAAAGACUGAAGAAGUGGAAAAGGGAAUUACCUCUUCCAGGUAGUCCACAUGCCUGUAUUGUGGUACCAUCUCGAGAACUUGCAGUUCAAGUUUUGAGUGUUGUUAAACAUCUCAGUCACUUUUCUAAACUUUCUUCGCUUGGUUUGAUAAGUGGUCGCAAAAAGAAAUGGAAACUGGAAGGAUUAAAUAAUUCAGUUGAUGUUGUUGUUUGUACACCACAUGAUCUACUUAGCUAUUUACGCAAAGAUAUUGUGAGUUUCUCUCACCUCAAACAUCUUGUCAUUGAUGAAGCAGAUACCAUGUUUGAUCCAAGUUUUCAAACACUUUCAAUGGAGAUUUUAAGAUUUGCAGGAAUUCGCCCCUGGGUGAAUUUUGAACAAAGAAUACAAACAACAUUUGUUUCAGCAACCAUUCCACAUGAGUUGCUCAAGUUACUGCAAAAUUUGAUUCAAGAUUUGACAAUAUGCAACAUUAGUUUGCAUCAAGUCCUGCCACAUGUUUCUCAGAAGUUUGUUAAAAUUCCACAGCACAAAAAGAGUGAACAAUUACUGGAGGAGAUUAGACACAAUUUAAGAAGUGGUCAAAAUCAGACAAUGGUGUUCUGCAAUACAACAAAAGUUGUGAUUGGACAUCAUUUUACCUAGAGGAACAGGGAAUUUCACAAAUUCGAUUAAAUGGGAAAAUGACAAAGAAGGUAUAAUUAAUUUUAUAAAUCUGUAUGAGACAUUCCAAAUCAAUAAAUUAGCACUCUUGUAGGAAAGAAAAUGGAAUAUAGACAAGUUUCAACAUAAUGAAUCACCUAUCUUGGUUUGUACAGAUGUUGCCUCAAGAGGACUGGACACCACUAAUGUUGAUAAUGUUAUAAACUUUGACUUUCCACCAAAUGUUAUUGACUAUAUCCAUCGAGCAGGACGUACAGGGAGACUUGGAAUGAAUGCCUUAUCCUAUGUGACUAGUUUCAUCAGUCAUAAUAGAGAACUUGUCAUCAUGGAAGCAGUCAAGAGAGCAAUGCAUAACCACAUGCCUUUACAAGAUCCCCAUUUGUGGCAAGCAGCACAUGAUGACACCAAGUACCAGUAUUCAGCAACAGCAAAUAAGCCAAGGUUUUCUCAUAAGAAGCAAUAUCACACUGUUCACAGUAAAAAAAUAAUUUAAUUGACCUUUUUUUAUAAGUGCUUUUCCAUUCUAUACAAAUAUGUACAAUUAAAAAUCCAUAAAAAAUACUCAAAAUUAUUUAAUUAUCCCCACAAAGGAAUUUACAGUUAAAAUAUAUAUUAUUAAUUUUGACUUUGUACAUAUUUAUAUUCAGCAUGAAUAUGAGAGUUGUAUCUUUGUCAUACCCUUUAA